UAAUUAAAACUUGUAGUUUAUAUCUAUGUGUAGAAGAACAUGAAAAAAUGCAGUCGCGUGAUUGUCGUUUAUGCUCCUGAAGAAGUCGCCAAUUUUUAACUACUUACGCUAAGUCGUAAUUCGAUGAUUGAAAUAAAAAUUGUGUGUGUUUGAACAUAUGAUACUGAAAAUUAUUACAUUAAAAGCUUCCAAGAUGUUAAAACACAACGCGAUGUAGAGUUGCCACCUUUUUGGGUUUGGACCAAAAACUCGAUUUUGAAGAUUUAUGUCCGAGUUUGGGUUUCAUUACUUCUCCAGGUUGCAUAAAAUGUAAAACGUCUUAUGUAGUUUGUAAUGAAAAAAAUUCCCUGAAUGUACGGCAUUGGAAAAAAACUAAGAAGGGCGUUUCGAAUAAGACGUAUACAUUACGAUGUUAUAUUUAUCGAUGAACUGUUAAGAAUUUUAUAAAUUUAUUAAGAAAUUUGAAAAUAUGGAGCUUGUUAAAACUGCAAAUAUUUAUGGAAGUAAAGCCAAUAAAAAUAAUAAUUUAUAUAUUUAUUAUGCAAUCGUCUUCAU